rnacentral:rRNA from 1 species
UGAACCUGCGGAAGGAUCAUUACCGAGUGCGGGUCCUUUGGGCCCAACCUCCCCAUCCGUGUCUAUUGUACCCUGUUGCUUCGGCGGGCCCGCCGCUUGUCGGCCGCCGGGGGGGCGCCUCUGCCCCCCGGGCCCGUGCCCGCCGGAGACCCCAACACGAACACUGUCUGAAAGCGUGCAGUCUGAGUUGAUUGAAUGCAAUCAGUUAAAACUUUCAACAAUGGAUCUCUUGGUUCCGGCAUCGAUGAAGAACGCAGCGAAAUGCGAUAACUAAUGUGAAUUGCAGAAUUCAGUGAAUCAUCGAGUCUUUGAACGCACAUUGCGCCCCCUGGUAUUCCGGGGGGCAUGCCUGUCCGAGCGUCAUUGCUGCCCUCAAGCCCGGCUUGUGUGUUGGGUCGCCGUCCCCCUCUCCGGGGGGACGGGCCCGAAAGGCAGCGGCGGCACCGCGUCCGAUCCUCGAGCGUAUGGGGCUUUGUCACAUGCUCUGUAGGAUUGGCCGGCGCCUGCCGACGUUUUCCAACCAUUCUUUCCAGGUUGACCUCGGAUCAGGUAGGGAUACCCGCUGAACUUAAGCAUA